GCGUAUAUUAAAGUUGUUGCAGUUAAAAAGCUCGUAGUCGGAUUUCGGGUCGGGCCGAGCGGUCUGCCGAUGGGUAUGCACUGUUCGGCGCGGCCUUCUUUCCGGAGACCGCGGCUACUCUUAACUGAGCGGGCGUGGGAGACGGAUCGUUUACUUUGAAAAAAUCAGAGUGUUUCAAGCAGGCAGCUCGCUCUUGCAUGGAUUAGCAUGGGAUAAUGAAAUAGGACUCUGGUGCUAUUUUGUUGGUUUCGAACACCGGAGUAAUGAUUAACAGGUACAGUCAGGGGCACUCGUAUUCCGUCGAGAGAGGUGAAAUUCUCAGACCAAUGGAAGACGAACCACUGCGAAAGCAUUUGCCAGGGAUGUUUUCACUGA
rnacentral:rRNA from 1 species